AAAGAAUUUGUGCAGAAAUCACAUUGGAUAUUCCAGUACAACCAUUUCCUUACAUUGGCCUACACAAAUAACACAUUUACUAUGAAGGGGAAAACUUUUUAUAAAAAAAAUAUGGAAGACUUAGUCUCACAAUAAUAAGUUGUAGCUGUGCUCGAAAAUCUCAGAAAAAUACAAGCCCAUCUAAUGAUAAACCUAUUCAAUAAAAGGAGAACAUGGAGGAUGAAACAAUAUCUUUUUGCAAAGGAAGGAAAUAUAUGGAAAAAAACUCAUGACCACUCCUUACAAAUCCAAACAACCACCCAAAGAGCCCAGGUAUCUCGGUAAAUCUCUUUAAUGCCAAUAUUUGUAAGUUCUUAAACAAUCAAAUAUUUCAUUACAAACCAAAAGAAUCCACGAGUAUUCAUCUCCCUAGCAACACCAAGAUUGCUAUUAAUACUGAGCAAACCACUCUAACCAUGGAAAACCAGUUUUCCAUCCUACAAGAAGAGCAAAUGGUUUUAUAAGAUACCAAUAAUCUUCCAUUAAACAAUAAACUAAAAAUUAUUAAUCUCAAUAAACCUGCACAGUUUUCCUUACAUUACGAGACACUAGCCAUGCUGGAUUCAAAUGUGAAAAGAAAUUUUAUUAAAGAAAGAAAUAAUAGAAAACCUGCCAUGCAAAAUAACAUUCAACGGACAAAAGAUACCUCUUCUACUAAUGAUCAUUCUACAAACACUCUUAAGACACUAAACCAUAUUCUGGUAAUGAUCUUUCUUUAGACAAAAACCAAGAACAAAAUAUUUCCCUUGGAUAUGAUAGUAUAUCCUCCCCUAGGCAUGCAAGCCAAAUAGAAAAGAUUACUCAUAAUAAUGGACAAAUGUCCUAUGCCCUUGAGAAGAUCUUGAUACUGCAACUAUGGAGGAUAUCCA
rnacentral:lncRNA from 1 species